UAGUGGCGAACGGGUGAGUAACACGUGGGCAAUCUGCCCUUCACUCUGGGACAAGCCCUGGAAACGGGGUCUAAUACCGGAUAAUACCUGCCUGGGCAUCUGGGUGGGUUGAAAGCUCCGGCGGUGAAGGAUGAGCCCGCGGCCUAUCAGCUUGUUGGUGAGGUAGUGGCUCACCAAGGCGACGACGGGUAGCCGGCCUGAGAGGGCGACCGGCCACACUGGGACUGAGACACGGCCCAGACUCCUACGGGAGGCAGCAGUGGGGAAUAUUGCACAAUGGGCGAAAGCCUGAUGCAGCGACGCCGCGUGAGGGAUGACGGCCUUCGGGUUGUAAACCUCUUUCAGCAGGGAAGAAGCGAAAGUGACGGUACCUGCAGAAGAAGCGCCGGCUAACUACGUGCCAGCAGCCGCGGUAAUACGUAGGGCGCAAGCGUUGUCCGGAAUUAUUGGGCGUAAAGAGCUCGUAGGCGGCUUGUCACGUCGGGUGUGAAAGCCCGGGGCUUAACCCCGGGUCUGCAUUCGAUACGGGCUAGCUAGAGUGUGGNAGGGGAGAUCGGAAUUCCU
rnacentral:rRNA from 1 species